rnacentral:tmRNA from 1 species
GGGGGCGUACCGGUUUCGACGGGGAACAACGGCGGAGCAGGGGUGGCGUGUCGAUAUCCACGCGUUACGUGGAAUAUUAACUGCGAACGAUAACUUCGCUCUCGCGGCCUAAACAGCCGUGACAUUUCGAUGGGGGCGUGACCCGCGGCACCCAUCGAGAUGACGCCAAAGCGGGUCAACGGGUGCGGUCGCCUUGCGUCGCACUUCGGCAAUACCAGCAAGGCUAGCUGUCGUGCCAGGCGCCUUCUUCCGACGCGCGGCAGCGAGACCUCAAAUAGAGGGCUACGCACGUAGAAGCCUCUGAUACGCGUUUCUCGGACGUGGGUUCGACUCCCACCGCCUCCACCA